rnacentral:rRNA from 1 species
ACCCCUCCCAACAGCUAGCCCCCCUCCCCAAAAUCAACAAACCCCAUUAAUACCCCCUCAUCAAGUAUAAAAAUAAGCAACAAACCAUUUUUCCUCCCUAGUAUAGGUGAUAGAAAAG